rnacentral:misc_RNA from 1 species
GAUAGUGGCAUAAUCAGAACUCUUGAUGUCCCAAUAUACAUUACCAAGGUUUCUGGAAAUACCAUUUUUUGCUUGGAUCGGGAUGGGAAAAAUAGAACUAUUGUCAUUGAUGCAACAGAAUAUAUCUUUAAACUCUCCCUUUUGAGGAAGAGAUAUGACAAUGUUAUGAGCAUGAUUAGGAACUCUCAGCUUUGUGGGCAGGCAAUGAUUGCGUAUUUGCAGCAGAAGGGUUUUCCUGAAGUUGCUUUGCAUUUUGUGAAGGAUGAGAGAACACGAUUUAAUUUGGCCCUUGAGAGUGGAAAUAUUCAGAUUGCUGUUGCUUCAGCAAAGGAAAUUGAUGAGAAAGAUCAUUGGUAUAGAUUGGGGGUGGAAGCGCUUCGCCAAGGUAAUGCUGGUAUUGUUGCGUUGAGUAUGCCUACCAGAGGACUAAAAAUUUUGAGAGGUUAUCUUUCCUUUAUCUAAUAACUGGGAAUCUGGAAAAGCUUUCCAAGAUGCUGAAAAUUGCUGAGGUUAAGAAUGAUGUCAUGGGUCAAUUUCACAAUGCCCUGUAUUUGGGUGAUGUUCAAGAGCGUGUCAAGAUCUUAGAGAAUGCUGGUCAUUUGCCACUCGCUUAUAUAACUGCUAAAGUCCAUGGGUUAGAGGAUCUUGCUGAACGUUUGGGUGCUGAAUUAGGAGAUAAUGUUCCAUCCGUUCCAGAGGAUAAAGUGCCCUCCCUUCUGAUGCCUCCAGCUCCCGUUAUGUGUGGUAGUGACUGGCCCCUUCUAAGAGUCAUGAAAGGUAU